rnacentral:rRNA from 1 species
UGCGUAGGUGGCUUCGUGUGUCGGAUGUGAAAGCCCAUGGCUCAACUGUGGAAUUGCAUUCGAAACUGCGGAGCUAGAGUGCAGGAGGGGAGAGCGGAAUUCUUGGUGUAGCGGUGAAAUGCGUUGAUAUCAAGAAGAACACCGGUGGCGAAGGCGGCUCUCUGGAAUGUUACUGACACUGAGGCACGAAAGCUGGGGGAGCAAACAGGAUUAGAUACCCUGGUAGUCC